CCCUGGCCUGAUCACCACCCAUGAGUGGCAGGGUCCAUCCAGAGCUGGCAGACACCCUACCGGUGAAUAGUUCUGGAACAUUCACUCGGCCACCUACACUACCACAGCCUCUGUCUAGAGGAAGAGAAUGUCAGAUUUCUCCCCAUCGGGUGCUGACUUGACAAGAAACUCACUUCAUUCACAAACCCUCCUCUCUAGGGAAGGCAUUUUUCUAAGCAGCAAAUGAGGACAAAACACAUCUGCAUUGAC